rnacentral:rRNA from 1 species
AUUGAACGCUGGCGGCAUGCCUUACACAUGCAAGUCGAACGGCAGCACGGGAGCAAUCCUGGUGGCGAGUGGCGAACGGGUGAGUAAUAUAUCGGAACGUGCCCAGUAGUGGGGGAUAACUGCUCGAAAGAGCAGCUAAUACCGCAUACGACCUGAGGGUGAAAGGGGGGGAUCGCAAGACCUCUCGCUAUUGGAGCGGCCGAUAUCAGAUUAGCUAGUUGGUGGGGUAAAGGCCUACCAAGGCAACGAUCUGUAGUUGGUCUGAGAGGACGACAAGCCACACUGGGACUGAGACACGGCCCAGACUCCUACGGGAGGCAGCAGUGGGGAAUUUUGGACAAUGUGCGCAAGCCUGAUCCAGCAAUGCCGCGUGCAGGAAGAAGGCCUUCGGGUUGUAAACUGCUUUUGUCAGGGAAGAAAUCCUCUAGGUUAAUACCCUUGGGGGGAUGACGGUACCUGAAGAAUAAGCACCGGCUAACUACGUGCCAGCCGCCGCUGUAAAAC